AUCAAAGUAGGUAUUCUUACCAUCAUUGGACAGUGUGGAAUCUGAGGAUCAGUGAGUUGAAAUGACUGGCCAGAAAUCACUUUGAAGUGGGUUUGAGCAGGGGCUUGCACCCUGAUUUGGGAAUCCAUGCUGCCUCCAUCAGUCCACUAUGGAAGAGCACUGGCGAGCCUAGGGUGACUCACUCAGAUGAUGGAAUGAGUGAAGUGUGACUCCUUCCUUCUGCUUUUGGGACAAUGGCUCUACUUUGGAUGGGGCCUCCCCUCCUUUCUCUGCUUCCUGUCCCACCUCUGUCUCCUGUCCUGGUUCUGCUCUUGAAACAUCCAGUUAAAUAACUGAACUGUUAAAUGAAUAAACCAAUGCUGAAAGCCCAUAAUACAGAAAAAUCAUCUCAGCUUUAAUGAAAUAGAGUAUUAUCUUGUACCAGUCUUUCUCCUUGAAAGGAGUAUUUGCUGUUUUGUUCUCUGAUUUAUCCCCAACAACAAAG